rnacentral:rRNA from 1 species
GCGCAGCAGUCGCGAAAACUCCGCAAUGCGCGAAAGCGUGACGGGGCUACCCCGAGUGCCUUCCGCUGAGGAUGGCUUUUCCCCGGUGUAAUGAGCCGGGGGAAUAAGGAGAGGGCAAGACUGGUGUCAGCCGCCGCGGUAAUACCAGCUCUCCGAGUGGUAGGGAUGAUUACUGGGCUUAAAGCGUCCGUAGCCGGCUUAGCAAGUCUCCUGUCAAAUUCAGCGACCUAAUCGUUGAACCGCGGGAGAUACUACUAGGCUAGGAGGCGGGAGAGGCCGACGGUAUUCCCGGGGUAGGGGUGAAAUCCUAUAAUCCCGGGAGGACCACCAGUGGCGAAGGCUGUCGGCUAGAACGCGCUCGACGGUGAGGGACGAAAGCUGGGGGAGCGAACCGGAUUAGAUACCCGGGUAGUCCCAGCUGUAAACGAUGCGGGCUAGGUGUUGGGGUGGCUACGAGCCACUUCAGUGCCGCAGGGAAGCCAUUAAGCCCGCCGCCUGGGGAGUACGGCCGCAAGGCUGAAACUUAAAGGAAUUGGCGGGGGAGCACCACAAGGCGUGAAGCUUGCGGUUCAAUUGGAGUCAACGCCGGGAACCUUACCGGGAGCGACAGCAGGAUGAAAGCC